rnacentral:lncRNA from 1 species
CAUCCAGCACACGGAUGACUUAACCCUUCCUGUGUGGAGACAUUUCCCUUCACCAUUUUUAUGCCUGUGUUUGCCCAAGAUUUACCGCAUGCUUAUUCCUUCUAAGCUUUACUUCCUGAUAUGUAAACAUCUAGUUUGGGGAAGUCUGAGAAAAAUCCUUUUCUCUUUUUGGAAAUCUACCUCUCAAGACUAUCCAGUGUGGGCUUUAAAGUCUAGAUUGAAACUCGGAACCGAGCUGUGAAACUGCCUUCCCUUUUCUUUUUUCCAGAAAUUCGCUGCAUUCCUCAGUGCUCAUCAUGCAGAGGACCUCUUUCUGCACUGAUGCAUGGUUUGAAGAAUCAUGGUGGGAAAUCCUUCAGCCUGAAGAAAGGCAGAAGAAGUUUGAGCAACACCCACCCAGAAGGCUUUUCUCCCCACCUUGGGAUGUCAGCAGGUUGGAAGGAAACCAAGGAUAUUAUUAGCCUCCAAAGUUAAGUGGAGGGUUAUCUGAUCCUCGAAGCCAGUGGUCUUUAACCUGAAGCAUCUAUACCUCUGAGGAUUUAUAAAUAUUUUCCCAAAAGAUACAUAAACUAAUUUGGUUUUGGAUCAUCAAUUACCAUAUGAAUUCUUCUAAUAUUUUUUUAACUGAGAAGUCUCCUGGAAUUUCUCCUUUUUAUGUCAUAGUCUCCUGUUUCCCAUGAAAAGUGAAAAAAAAAAAUCUUUUGCCCAUUGAGAAUCUUAUUAUGGUGUAUUGCACUCACAUGAAAAACUUCCAGGGCACCAAAUAAAAGGAUAAUCAAAACAUUAAAAAUAUUUUAUUAUGCUAGAUGAUUGUGUGAUAAUUCAGUUGUAAUAAUAACUUGAGUAACAAUGGUUAAAAAUGAAGCUUCCAUUUCUAUAUACUUAUUUCUGUGGACAAAUUGUCUAAGCAUUUAAUAUCUAUAAAGAUGGAUAAACAAACAAAAGGAAUAGAAUUGAUACCAAAUCCUUUUUCUUUCAUGUAAUUAGUGAUAAUCAUCCCCAGAAACAUAAACAGCUUCAUGGAUAUAUCUCAUUAAAAAAUACAUUUCCAAUAUAAUUCUAUUAUUUCUGCUUAAUAAAUAUUUAUCAAAAUUUGUAAUGUAUCCAUCUUGUUUUAAUGCAUAGCUUAGUAAUAAUAAAAAUGAUAUCUCCAUAUAGAAGAAAUACUUUUUAAUACUUAGAACCGUAUAGCCCUAGGAAUUACAAACAAAAUUUAAAAGUCAAUUUAUGUACAUAUUUUUGUAGUGGAUAAAUAUGAUCAAUAAAUGAUUUUCAAGUGUCAAAGUAUAUUACAUGAGCUUAAAGUUCUGUGGGGGAAGUGAAAUGAAACUAUUAGUUCUCAGAGAAAAAGAA